rnacentral:rRNA from 1 species
AACGAACGCUGGCGGCAUGCCUAACACAUGCAAGUCGAACGAGACCUUCGGGUCUAGUGGCGCACGGGUGCGUAACGCGUGGGAACCUGCCCUUAGGUUCGGAAUAACUCCCCGAAAGGGGUGCUAAUACCGGAUAAUGUCUUCGGACCAAAGAUUUAUCGCCUUUGGAUGGGCCCGCGUUGGAUUAGCUAGUUGGUAGGGUAAAAGCCUACCAAGGCGACGAUCCAUAGCUGGUCUGAGAGGCUGAUCAGCCACACUGGGACUGAGACACGGCCCAGACUCCUACGGGAGGCAGCAGUGGGGAAUAGUGGAAAAUGGGCGAAAGCCUGAUGCAGCAAUGCCGCGUGAGUGAUGAAGGCCUUAGGGUUGUAAAGCUCUUUUAACCGGGAUGAUAAUGACAGUACCGGGAGAAUAAGCUCCGGCUAACUCCGUG